rnacentral:lncRNA from 1 species
CAUGACAGCAUAACAAUUGAAUAUACAAAAUAUAUACAUGUAGCAAGAUUCUUCUCCAUAGUUGAAGGAAAUUAAAGCUGUGAAAAUGGGGUGAUGAACUACUCUUCCUUUCAAGUUGCAUUAAAUAAUAUGAAGAGUUUUUCUUUUUUUCCUUCUCUCCCCAAGUAAGUAUUCAUCAUCUUCAUGUUCUCUCCCUCUCUAUAUAAAUUUUCUGAUUCCUAGCAGAUGGAAACUCAACUGCUUAGACUCGUUCUUCUCUCCUGCUGACAACUUGAGUAAAUGAUCAUUUUCUUCAUUCAAUCUUUUGAUUUUUCAAAUACUGUUCAAUCUUCCAUGUUUAGACAUCUUGGGUAAGCAGGAAUUUUAAAAUAAAGGUAAGGGAGAAGAAGAAGAAGAAGAAUUCAUUUUGGUGAAUGACUUCUGAUAUUUCCCCAUUCAUGAAAAUAUAGAUCUAUGAUCUAUAAUCACUUUGACUCGGAAAUUCAAAUAUGUUCUUUUCUUUAAUACUUGACUGACUGAUUUAGGGUUAUUAGUUUUAGAUUGAAUUUGCCUUUUUUUGGGUAAUGCUUAUUAAAAAUUAAAUUCUAACCCUAAAUCUUUGGAUUCUUAA